GAUGAACGCUGGCGGCGUGCCUAAUACAUGCAAGUCGAGCGAACGGACGAGAAGCUUGCUUUUCUGAUGUUAGCGGCGGACGGGUGAGUAACACGUGGAUAACCUACCUAUAAGACUGGGAUAACUUCGGGAAACCGGAGCUAAUACCGGAUAAUAUUUUGAACCGCAUGGUUCAUAAGAGAAAGACGGUCUUGCUGUCACUUAUAGAUGGAUCCGCGCUGCAUUAGCUAGUUGGUAAGGUAACGGCUUACCAAGGCAACGAUGCAUAGCCGACCUGAGAGGGUGAUCGGCCACACUGGAACUGAGACACGGUCCAGACUCCUACGGGAGGCAGCAGUAGGGAAUCUUCCGCAAUGGGCGAAAGCCUGACGGAGCAACGCCGCGUGAGUGAUGAAGGUCUUCGGAUCGUAAAACUCUGUUAUUAGGGAAGAACAUAUGUGUAAGUAACUGUGCACAUCUUGACGGUACCUAAUCAGAAAGCCACGGCUAACUACGUG
rnacentral:rRNA from 1 species